CAGGAGGGUGCAAGCGUUAAUCGGAAUUACUGGGCGUAAAGCGUGCGUAGUUCGGUUAUUUAAGUCGGGUGUGAAAGCCCCGGGCUCAACCUGGGAAUUGCAUUCGAUACUGGAUAGCUAGAGUUCGGCAGAGGGAAGCGGAAUUUCCGGUGUAGCGGUGAAAUGCGUAGAUAUCGGAAGGAACAUCAGUGGCGAAAGCGGCUUCCUGGACCAGAACUGACGAUCAGGCACGAAAGCGUGGGGAGCAAACAGGAUUAGAUACCCUGGUAGUCCACGCCAUAAACGAUGACAACUAGACGUUGGGCGGGUAAGCCGCACAGUGUCGCAGCUAACGCGUUAAGUUGUCCGCCUGGGGAGUACGGCCGCAAGGUUG
rnacentral:rRNA from 1 species